rnacentral:rRNA from 1 species
CCUACGGGAGGCAGCAGUGAGGAAUAUUGGUCAAUGGACGAGAGUCUGAACCAGCCAAGUAGCGUGAAGGAUGACUGCCCUAUGGGUUGUAAACUUCUUUUAGAUGGGAAUAAAAUGUUCCACGUGUUGGCUUUUGUAUGUACCAUAUGAAUAAGGAUCGGCUAACUCCGUGCCAGCAGCCGCGGUAAUACGGAGGAUCCGAGCGUUAUCCGGAUUUAUUGGGUUUAAAGGGAGCGUAGGUGGAUUGUUAAGUCAGUUGUGAAAGUUUGGGGCUCAACCGUAAAAUUGCAGUUGAAACUGGCAGUCUUGAGUACAGUAGAGGUGGGCGGAAUUCGUGGUGUAGCGGUGAAAUGCUUAGAUAUCACGAAGAACUCCGAUUGCGAAGGCAGCUCACUGGACUGCAACUGACACUGAGGCGCGAAAGUGUGGGUAUCAAACAGGAUUAGAUACCCUAGUAGUC